rnacentral:rRNA from 1 species
GAUUAAGUUAUUAAGGGCGCACGGUGGAUGCCUUGGCACUAGAAGCCAAUGAAGGACGUUACUAACGACGAUAUGCUUUGGGGAGCUGUAAGUAAGCUUUGAUCCAGAGAUUUCCGAAUGGGGAAACCCAGCAUGAGUUAUGUCAUGUUAUCGAUAUGUGAAUACAUAGCAUAUCAGAAGGCACACCCGGAGAACUGAAACAUCUUAGUACCCGGAGGAAGAGAAAGAAAAUUCGAUUCCCUUAGUAGCGGCGAGCGAAACGGGAAGAGCCCAAACCAACAAGCUUGCUUGUUGGGGUUGUAGGACACUCUAUACGGAGUUACAAAGGACGACAUUAGACGAAUCAUCUGGAAAGAUGAAUCAAAGAAGGUAAUAAUCCUGUAGUCGAAAAUGUUGUCUCUCUUGAGUGGAUCCUGAGUACGACGGAGCACGUGAAAUUCCGUCGGAAUCUGGGAGGACCAUCUCCUAAGGCUAAAUACUCUCUAGUGACCGAUAGUGAACCAGUACCGUGAGGGAAAGGUGAAAAGCACCCCGGAAGGGGAGUGAAAUAGAACCUGAAACCGUGUGCUUACAAGUAGUCAGAGCCCGUUAAUGGGUGAUGGCGUGCCUUUUGUAGAAUGAACCGGCGAGUUACGAUUUGAUGCAAGGUUAAGCAGUAAAUGUGGAGCCGUAGCGAAAGCGAGUCUGAAUAGGGCGUUUAGUAUUUGGUCGUAGACCCGAAACCAGGUGAUCUACCCUUGGUCAGGUUGAAGUUCAGGUAACACUGAAUGGAGGACCGAACCGACUUACGUUGAAAAGUGAGCGGAUGAACUGAGGGUAGCGGAGAAAUUCCAAUCGAACCUGGAGAUAGCUGGUUCUCUCCGAAAUAGCUUUAGGGCUAGCCUCAAGUGAUGAUUAUUGGAGGUAGAGCACUGUUUGGACGAGGGGCCCCUCUCGGGUUACCGAAUUCAGACAAACUCCGAAUGCCAAUUAAUUUAACUUGGGAGUCAGAACAUGGGUGAUAAGGUCCGUGUUCGAAAGGGAAACAGCCCAGACCACCAGCUAAGGUCCCAAAAUAUAUGUUAAGUGGAAAAGGAUGUGGCGUUGCCCAGACAACUAGGAUGUUGGCUUAGAAGCAGCCAUCAUUUAAAGAGUGCGUAAUAGCUCACUAGUCGAGUGACACUGCGCCGAAAAUGUACCGGGGCUAAACAUAUUACCGAAGCUGUGGAUUGUCCUUUGGACAAUGGUAGGAGAGCGUUCUAAGGGCGUUGAAGCAUGAUCGUAAGGACAUGUGGAGCGCUUAGAAGUGAGAAUGCCGGUGUGAGUAGCGAAAGACGGGUGAGAAUCCCGUCCACCGAUUGACUAAGGUUUCCAGAGGAAGGCUCGUCCGCUCUGGGUUAGUCGGGUCCUAAGCUGAGGCCGACAGGCGUAGGCGAUGGAUAACAGGUUGAUAUUCCUGUACCACCUAUAAUCGUUUUA